AUCUACCCCGGCGCGUAGAACAGUGUCUGGCACCUACUAGGCGCUUAACAAAUACCAUUAAAAAAAAAAAAGGUAGCCGGGGGACCCGACAGGAGUGACCUCAUCACGUCACCCUGUGUCCCACUGGCUUUUGGAGGGGGUGUGGGCUGUCCUCAGAUUGUGAAUGUGUCUGUUUAUUGUUGCAGCGUACUCUCCGAAGCGCCUAGUACAGUGCUCCACACACGGUAAGCGCUCAAUAAGGACGAUCGAAUGAAUGGAUGUUACGACCCCAGGUCACAUCUUCAAGAUGUCCUCUCCCAUGAAGGGAAAGCUGCCUCCACGCGGGGAAAAGUCGCACCGGGUCGAAACGUCGUACGUCAGCGUGGAGACGUCAUCCCAUCGCCUGGAGACAUCCUCUCGCCAGGCGAGCACGUCCACCCGCCACGCGGAGACGUGUCAGCGGCGCACCGAGGCCUCGUCGUCCUCCCCCGUCGGCAAACGGGUCCCUCGGGUGGAGACGUCGUCGCUCCGGGUCGAGACGUCCUCGCAGCACGUAGAGGCGUCGUCCCGUCACGUCAGGGCCUCGUCGCGGAGGGUCGAGACGACCCUGUGGCACACGGAAAGCUCCUCCGGCCGUACCCUGUCGUCAUUACGCCAGAACGUGAAGCCACCCCGUUGAGAUGUCAGAGCCAGAUCGGGUUCCCGACAUCCUUCAAAAUCCCAGUUGUCCCUGCACGCCGUCCCGUCGGGUCGAAACGUCAAGCUGUCGGGACUGUGGAGUGCGGCGUUUUCACGCUCCCGAUCCCCUCCCCGCAGUUCUCGUCCGUCUCGAGGAAGGAGCGUGGAAGGGAUUAACGUCCUGCGGAUUGGGACAAGGUUGUCGAGACGUUCGGUGAGGAUUUACAGAUCCUGUGCUUUUGAAAGUUGAAUCGACACUGACAUCUUCGCCGCGAACCUGUAUUAAUCCCCCUAAUUCUCUGGCAGUAAACUGAGACCCAAAGGGUAAGCAGCUUGCCCGGGGAGUCAGAGGGCCCUGGGUUCUAAUUCCGACUCCGCCACU